UGGGGAAUUUUGGACAAUGGGCGAAAGCCUGAUCCAGCAAUGCCGCGUGUGUGAAGAAGGCCUUCGGGUUGUAAAGCACUUUUGUCCGGAAAGAAAUCCUUGGCUCUAAUACAGUCGGGGGAUGACGGUACCGGAAGAAUAAGCACCGGCUAACUACGUGCCAGCAGCCGCGGUAAUACGUAGGGUGCAAGCGUUAAUCGGAAUUACUGGGCGUAAAGCGUGCGCAGGCGGUUUGCUAAGACCGAUGUGAAAUCCCCGGGCUCAACCUGGGAACUGCAUUGGUGACUGGCAGGCUAGAGUAUGGCAGAGGGGGGUAGAAUUCCACGUGUAGCAGUGAAAUGCGUAGAGAUGUGGAGGAAUACCGAUGGCGAAGGCAGCCCCCUGGGCCAAGUACUGACGCUCAUGCACGAAGCGUGGGGAGCAAACAGGAUUAAUACCCUGGUAGUCCACGCCCUAAACGAUGUCAACUAGUUGUUGGGGAUUCAUUUCCUUAGUAACGUAGCUAACGCGUGAAGUUGACCGCCUGGGGAGUACGGUCGCAAGAUU
rnacentral:rRNA from 1 species